UAACCUGCCCAAGAGAUCGGGAUAACACCUGGAAACAGAUGCUAAUACCGGAUAACAACAGAUGAUGCCUAUCAACUGUUUAAAAGAUGGUUCAGCUAUCACUCUUGGAUGGACCUGCGGUGCAUUAGCUAGUUGGUAGGGUAACGGCCUACCAAGGCGAUGAUGCAUAGCCGAGUUGAGAGACUGAUCGGCCACAUUGGGACUGAGACACGGCCCAAACUCCUACGGGAGGCAGCAGUU
rnacentral:rRNA from 1 species